rnacentral:rRNA from 1 species
GACGAACGCUGGCGGCGUGCUUAACACAUGCAAGUCGAACGAUGAAGGUAGGUGCUUGCACCGGCUGGAUUAGUGGCGAACGGGUGAGUAACACGUGAGUAACCUGCCCUGGACUCUGGGAUAAGCGCUGGAAACGGCGUCUAAUACCGAAUAGGACCUUCGACCGCAUGGUUGGGGGUGGAAAGUUUUUUCGGUCCUGGAUGGACUCGCGGCCUAUCAGCUUGUUGGUGAGGUAAUGGCUCACCAAGGCGUCGACGGGUAGCCGGCCUGAGAGGGUGACCGGCCACACUGGGACUGAGACACGGCCCAGACUCCUACGGGAGGCAGCAGUGGGGAAUAUUGCACAAUGGGCGGAAGCCUGAUGCAGCAACGCCGCGUGGGGGACGAAGGCCUUCGGGUUGUAAACCUCUUUUAGUAGGGAAGAAGCGAAAGUGACGGUACCUGCAGAAAAAGCACCGGCUAACUACGUGCCAGCAGCCGCCGUAA